rnacentral:tRNA from 1 species
CAGAAAAUAGUUUAAUUUAGAAUAAUGGUUUUGGGUGCUGUUGGUAUGUGGUAUUUUUCUGA